GAGAGCAAUCCAACGGCCUCAAGAGAUACUUCACUCUAUUUAUAGAUAAAGAAGAAGGACCCAGGCAACCACCGCGGCGCACAAACCCUACAUCCAGAUCCAUCCCACCUCUGACCUAGGCUAUCAUGACUUCCAUCGUCUCCAAGCUCGCGCGGGCAGCCGUCGCAACCCACGCCUCUUCCGCACCGAUUGGAUGUACUGCUGGUGGCAGUCGCUCUACGGCCCGGUGUCUCCCUGGGCUCUGGCUGACUGGCGGUACCAUCCGACGCAUGUGUAGAGGCGUCUCUCCUGCAGGAGGUCCCAAUUCAGAAGAAGAGAAAGGCAGACCCAACUCGGAAGAUGCUGUAGAUGCUGCAGCCAUAGAUCCUAUAGAUUAUCUCCAUGUUCAAGAGGAUUUCCUCAAGUCGAAGGAAGCCCUGUGGGCCUUGUAAGACUACUGGCGCAAGUAUCAUGGCAUCUCGCGGGACAGAAAUGAGAUUGCCAGACGGUUCAACAUAUUUUGCAGAACGGCAAGGCAUGUGCACAAAGUCAACAAUUCCGGCAAGUCAUUAAAGUUGACACUGACCAAGUAUUCAGAUCGGACCACGCGGGAGAUGUUUCGUCCAAAACAUGGCCCUAAAACUUGAUCUCAGCAGACUCUUGUGUCACCUGUAAGCCCGAAAUUUAAGCUUCAGAAUACCAAGUUUCCCAGACAUGGCGAAAGUUCUAGCAUUACUGUAUGGUGCUUUGUUGUGUGAACUUCUUUAGCUAUACACUGGACAUGCUGGUGCUGAUAUGGUUGUGUAUUACUUCCUAUAUGUUUGCAAAAGUUUAUGUUUGUCUGUUCC